CAGAGUGCUGCCUGCACGGGGGGCAGGAAAGCAGGGUAGAAGGUCAGCAGUCCUUUCAACCCUGCUGAAAACCACGGGGCAUGGGAGGGUUCUGCUGGUGUUUGGCUUGGGUCCGGAAGAUAUUGCCCAAGAAGUUUUCUUUUUGCAGUUCUAGCACUGACAGAAACAGGCUUUCCUUGGAGCUUCUUUUGCCUGUGCCUAUGGGUGGUUCAACUGGAGACUCUGCAGCGCCCUGUCCCAGAUGCAUGAGGGCUGAAAAGAAAAUGCAGAGAACUCUGUACUGGAUGGAAGAGCUUCCUGAUUCAAUGUCUGCCAUCAGUCUUUUCUGUAAAACGAAAUUUCACAUGGAAGGAGUGAAACAUUCUUUCUUUCUUUUUUUUAAGUCAAAACUAAAGAGAUAAAAGCAACUAAAUGCUUUUAGGACAAAAAAUGGUUUCCGA
rnacentral:lncRNA from 1 species